rnacentral:rRNA from 1 species
CGGACGGGUGAGUAACACGUGGAUAACCUACCUAUAAGACUGGGAUAACUUCGGGAAACCGGAGCUAAUACCGGAUAAUAUAUUGAACCGCAUGGUUCAAUAGUGAAAGACGGUUUUGCUGUCACUUAUAGAUGGAUCCGCGCCGCAUUAGCUAGUUGGUAAGGUAACGGCUUACCAAGGCAAUGAUGCGUAGCCGACCUGAGAGGGUGAUCGGCCACACUGGAACUGAGACACGGUCCAG